rnacentral:lncRNA from 1 species
CACUAUGUUUACUUACUCCAUAAGUUUACUUAGCCCUUAAGUUUACUAUUUCCACCUCCUUAGUUAACCUCCUUACUAUUCACAAAUCUUAACCUGUAAGUUUCGUGGUUCCGUCUUUCAGGUUUCGUCCGACAGUUUUAAAAACUGCGAUUCUCGGAAUUCAAAUAUUUUUGGAUAUUUCGUCUUUCCUUUACCGAUUAACUUUUACGUAUUCUUCAGAUUUUCGAAAAACUGAAAAACACUUUUUGGGGUCAAGCGUUUUCCUUCACGUUUUCCCUUAACGUAGCUAAACGAAUGAAAAGUACAUAACAAUACUUUUCGUCAUUUUUAUUUAGUCC